rnacentral:rRNA from 1 species
GUGGGGAAUAUUGGGCAAUGGGGGAAACCCUGACCCAGCAACGCCGCGUGAGGGAAGAAGGUUUUCGGAUUGUAAACCUCUGUUCUUGGAGAAGAGAAGAAGACGGUAUCCAAGGAGGAAGCCCCGGCUAACUACGUGCCAGCAGCCGCGGUAAUACGUAGGGGGCGAGCGUUGUCCGGAAUGAUUGGGCGUAAAGGGCGCGCAGGCGGCUGUGUAAGUCAGUAGUGGAAGUCCAGCUUUCAAGGUUGGAAGUGCUAUUGAAACUGUACAGCUUGAGUGCAGGAGAGGUUAUCGGAAUUCCCGGUGUAGCGGUGAAAUGCGUAGAGAUCGGGAGGAACACCAGUGGCGAAGGCGGGUAACUGGACUGCAACUGACGCUGAGGCGCGAAAGUGUGGGGAGCAAACAGGAUUAGAAACCCUAGUAGUCC